CAGACUUUCUGACUUUGAAUUCAGAGUUCGAUGACCGUUCAUAACGAUUUUUCCCAGUUUGUUUGUUUCCCGAGUUCUUAGCUGUCUUGAGCGCUCGGAAGUCGGAGAUUUCAGUUUCCAGUUUUGAACCCAGCAUUUCUGUUGCGCCCUAGCUCCCUACGUCAUCACUACAAGUGAUAUUUUAUCUGCCAGAUACUAUAAACGCCCACGUUCUGGAUACGCCAAGCAAAAAGAGGGACUGAUCGAACUGCCAAUGGAAAGGCAAAGGCAAAAUUCCCACCCAGCCGGGCUCAGCUAGGAGAAUGAGCAAGAGAGAGAGAGUGUGAUCAGGGUUGUACAACAGCUUGCUUGGACAGUUUCCCCACCUCAACCACCUUACAGCUUAGACUACAGGGAUCACAGAAACCACACACACACACCUAGCAUUUCACUGUAACCUAUUUCUAACAGUUCAGCAGGAGGCCACCACACCACAUUAGAGUUGUUAAGAGAGAGCCUAUAAACAACAGUGAGACUGACUAUCACAGAAAGCAGCACUGGACAGCCAUGCAGGCGAAGG